rnacentral:lncRNA from 1 species
GGCUUCGCUCUUCAUACCCUCACCCACCGUUCCUUCCCUGCCCCCACCGUCCACUGGUCUGGCCGUAUCUGGGCUCGAACCGGCUGCACCUACUCCAACGGGCAUUUCUCCUGUGCCACGGGAGAUUGUGGCCACCGCAUUGAAUGCAACGGUCUCGGUGGAGCCACUCCUGUCACAAUUGCUCAGUUCAGCCUCCACCACGGUGGCCACAAAGAUCUCUCUUCCUACGAAGUCAGCCUUGUGGACGGUUUUAACAUCCCCAUGACUGUGACCCCGCACGAAGGCAAAGGCCUUUGUCCCGUCGUUGGGUGCAGGGCUAAUAUUCUGGCCACGUGUCCCGGCAAGUUACA